rnacentral:piRNA from 1 species
UAAAAUCGGAUUCAGAAUAUC